GACUCCUUACCAGACCUGCUCAGCUUAGUGGCUGAAGACUGACGCUGCCCAAUCACCUUGGAAGCCCCCUGGACCAUCAUGGAUGCCAAGCUUCGGGUAACUUUCACAGUGGAGGACAGGAAUGUCAGGCCUCUGCGCCGAAGCUCAGCCAUUGUAACCCCUGUGACUUGCACAUAUGUGUCCAGAUGGCCUGCAGGAGCCAAGAAGUCUGGGGCAGCUGAAAAACCACAAAAGAAGUAAAACAGCCAGUUCCUGCCUUAACAGAUUAACCAACAUUCCACCAUUCCACCAUUGUGACUGGUCCCUGCCCUACCUUAAUGGAUCGAUUGACCUUGUGACAUUCUUCUUCUGGACAAUGAGUCUUAUGAUCUCCCUACCAUGUACCUUGUGACCCCCCUCCUCUGCUAACAAUAGAUAACCACCUUUUAGUGUAAUUUUCCAUUACCUACCCAACUCCUAUAGGGCAACCCCUUCCCCAUCUCCCUUCGCUGACUCUCUUUUCAGACUCAGCCCACUUGCACCCAAGUGAAUAAACAGCCUUGUUGCUCACACAAAGCCUGUUGGUGGCGUCUUCACACAGACAUGCGUGACAUCUGCUCACCCACCUCUAAUACUGCAGAUUGAACAGUUCCCUUUGGAAAGCCCUUCCUGAUGUUGAGCUAAAAUGUCUUCCUGUCAUGUCCAUUCAUUAGUAGAAUAAACAUUUUAUCCAAAUGAGGCUGAUUAAACCAGAGGUUUAUGCAAAGGUGUAUGCAUCAAAGAUAGUGAUUUCCUGAGUGGAAGAAUUAAAUACCAGCUAAGAGUGAUUACAUAAAGCAUGGACCUUUUAUCUCUAUAGAAAAAACGCUACCUGACAAUAUUUCAAGUUAGAAUUUUGCUUUUCUUUUUCUCAAGUCAGGGUCUCAUUCUGUCACACAGACUGGAGUGCAGUGGUGCGAUCAUGCUGGCUAAUUUUUAAAUUUUUUGUAGACAGGGUCUGCUAUGUUGCCCAGGUUGGUCUAGAGCUCCUGGGCUCAAGGGAUCCUCCUACCUUGGCCUCCCAAAGUGCUGGGAUUACAGGCAUGAGGCACCUCGCCCAGCCCAAAUUAGGAUUUUUCUGGAGUGUAUAUUAGCACUUUCCUGAAAGGCAGCAAAUGUUUCAAAAGUUCACACCCUUUAACUCAAUAAUUACACAUCUAGGAAUCUUAUUCUCUGAAAAUAGUAUAGCAUGGAAAACGUUUUUUGCACAAAUUUUUGUUUUUUUAACCACAGUGUUUCUUUUAAAAUGUUAUUAAAAGAAUAAAAACAACCAAAAAUGUUCCUCAGAAGCAAUAUGUAAAUUCUGAAUACCAGAUAAACUACUAGGCAAGCAUCUAAAAUAAAGUUUACAGAUUUUCUUAAAACAUGAUGAAAUACUUGUGUAUUCAAUGGAUAUUCCAAGGCUCAGCUUCUAUAAAAAAAAUCUAACUCUGAGUAAGGGGAUCCAUAACAG
rnacentral:lncRNA from 1 species